UCAAGCAUAAAAAUCAUAUUUUUCUCAUUAAAGACAUCAUUUAACUAUUUAUUUCCUUUUAUUCACAACCUAAUCAUUUUUAGGAAAAAUAGCAAACUGAUUCCAAAAAUUCUCAGCUUCUGGAUUUUAACAGAAUAUGAACCAACAAUGAUCCUCUAAUUUUUCUAGAAUUUUAGAAAAUGAUUUACUAUUUUUAAAGUGCUCAAAACACUCAGAUCUUGCUCUAUUUUUAAAAAAUUGAGUUUUGCUCAGAAAAAUCUGACAUUUUCAGGGUAUGCUCUCUUAACGUAUAUGAAGCUACUGUAAAAUUUUUGGAAUUUUCCAGUGUAUACACAGUGAG
rnacentral:lncRNA from 1 species